ACCCCUAACUAAACACCCCGCGCAUCUAUAUAGAGGAGAUAAGUCGUAACAUGGUAAGUGUACUGGAAAGUGCACUUGGACAAAC
rnacentral:rRNA from 1 species